rnacentral:ncRNA from 2 species
AAACCUAGAUCGUGUGAUGGUUUCGCCCGAACAAGCGUAACGGCGGAUGAAAUGGGAACACGGUGAGGCGUACCCAACAGGGACCAAGACCGUGGCUGCCCCCGCAACUGUAAGCGAAGAGCAAAGCCCUUGAGCCACUGGAGCGAUCCGGGAAGGCGGGCUGCGCGGAGACUCGCGAGCCAGGAAACCUGCCAUCCAGCGGUCCCAUUG